GAAAUGGCUCAACUUGGUAGAGCACUUGGUUUGGGACCAAGGGGUUGCAGGUUCAAAUCCUGUUUUCC
rnacentral:tRNA from 4 species